ensembl:lncRNA
GUUGGACACAAAGGACUGUACUCCUUUGAGUCUCCAACUUUUAACAAACCCAUGUCUGAGCACAGCUAAUGAUAAAUUAUUUUACUUUGUCCAGGAGUGUGUCUGAGUUUCCUGCAGCAUCAGGAGAGGGAGAGACAGACACCAUGAUUCCUGCCAAGAUGCUACUGCUCUUGCUGUCAAUGUGUUUGCUGGCCUUGGGCUCUGCUCAGGGCAUCAGUGACGAUGAUGAAUUCUUGAAAGAAAAUCCAGAGGAAUCACAAGUGAAAUCUCAAGAAGAAAAUGGAGAUGAGAACAGCAAGCCAGACAAAGAUGGUCCAGGUGGCCCACAGAGACCAGCAGGCCAACAAGUUCCAGGUGGUCAACAGCGUCCAGGAGCCCAAGGUGGUCCAGGUGGCCCACAGGGUCCAGCGGGCCAACAGGGUCCAGGUGGCCAACAGCAUCCAGGAGCCCAAGGUGGUCCAGGUGGCCCACAGGGUCCAGCAGGCCAACAGGGCCCAGGUGGCCAACAGCGUCCAGGAGCCCAAGGUGGUCCAGGUGGCCCACAGGGUCCAGCAGGCCAACAGGGUCCAGGUGGCCAUCACCAUCCAGGAGCCCAAGGUGGUCCAGGAGGCCCACAGCGUCCAGCAGGCCAACAGGGUCCAGGUGGCCAACAGCGUCCAGGAGCCCAGAGAGUUCCAGGUGGCCCACAGGGUCCAGCAGGGCAACAUGGCCCAGGUGGCCAACAGGGCUCAGGUGGUCAAGGUGGUCCAGGUGGCCAGCGUGAUCAGCAUGGUGGCCAG